rnacentral:tRNA from 1 species
GGUUCUAUAAUUCAGUGGUAGAAUGCCUGCUUUACACGCAGUAUGUCUUGGGUUCGAUCCCCAAUGGAAUCA